rnacentral:ncRNA from 2 species
GAAUCUAUAAAUGAUACGUCUAAUAUAGUUUAGCGAUAUGGGCUAACGUUUCUACCAAUCACCUUAAAAGAUUGACUAUUGGACCUAAUAAAGAAUGC